CGGGCCAGGGCAGCCCAGCGCCGCUGGUCAGCUCACACCCUCACCACCCCCUUCUUUCUCCCAUAGGCUACCUGACCGUCAGCAUCGAGCCUCUGCCUCCCGUGGUGGCUGGUGAUGCCGUGACCUUAAAGUGUAACUUCAAAACCGAUGGGCGUAUGCGCGAGAUCGUAUGGUACCGGGUGACAGAUGGCGGCACCAUCAAGCAGAAGAUCUUCACCUUCGAUGCCAUGUUCUCCACCAACUACUCCCACAUGGAGAACUACCGCAAGCGGGAGGACCUGGUGUACCAGUCCACGGUCAGGUGAGGCCGCGGCCGGGGGGCUGGGGGCGCGGCCGGGGGGGGGGGCAGGCAGCGAGGCCAAGAAGGGCACUUCUCCAGCCCUCUCACCUCCACUUCCUCCAUGCCCUUACGGGGUG
rnacentral:lncRNA from 1 species